GCCCAGAGCCUGAAUCAGUAUGUGUGUUAGUGGAAGCGUCUGGAAAGGCGCGCGAUACAGGGUGACAGCCCCGUACACAAAAAUGCACAUGCUGUGAGCUCGAUGAGUAGGGCGGGACACGUGGUAUCCUGUCUGAAUAUGGGGGGACCAUCCUCCAAGGCUAAAUACUCCUGACUGACCGAUAGUGAACCAGUACCGUGAGGGAAAGGCGAAAAGAACCCCGGCGAGGGGAGUGAAAAAGAACCUGAAACCGUGUACGUACAAGCAGUGGGAGCACGCUUAGGCGUGUGACUGCGUACCUUUUGUAUAAUGGGUCAGCGACUUAUAUUCUGUAGCAAGGUUAACCGAAUAGGGGAGCCGAAGGGAAACCGAGUCUUAACUGGGCGUUAAGUUGCAGGGUAUAGACCCGAAACCCGGUGAUCUAGCCAUGGGCAGGUUGAAGGUUGGGUAACACUAACUGGAGGACCGAACCGACUAAUGUUGAAAAAUUAGCGGAUGACUUGUGGCUGGGGGUGAAAGGCCAAUCAAACCGGGAGAUAGCUGGUUCUCCCCGAAAGCUAUUUAGGUAGCGCCUCGUGAAUUCAUCUCCGGGGGUAGAGCACUGUUUCGGCAAGGGGGUCAUCCCGACUUACCAACCCGAUGCAAACUGCGAAUACCGGAGAAUGUUAUCACGGGAGACACACGGCGGGUGCUAACGUCCGUCGUGAAGAGGGAAACAACCCAGACCGCCAGCUAAGGUCCCAAAGUCAUGGUUAAGUGGGAAACGAUGUGGGAAGGCCCAGACAGCCAGGAUGUUGGCUUAGAAGCAGCCAUCAUUUAAAGAAAGCGUAAUAGCUCACUGGUCGAGUCGGCCUGCGCGGAAGAUGUAACGGGGCUAAACCAUGCACCGAAGCUGCGGCAGCGACGCUGAUGCGUUGUUGGGUAGGGGAGCGUUCUGUAAGCCUGCGAAGGUGUGCUGUGAGGCAUGCUGGAGGUAUCAGAAGUGCGAAUGCUGACAUAAGUAACGAUAAAGCGGGUGAAAAGCCCGCUCGCCGGAAGACCAAGGGUUCCUGUCCAACGUUAAUCGGGGCAGGGUGAGUCGACCCCUAAGGCGAGGCCGAAAGGCGUAGUCGAUGGGAAACAGGUUAAUAUUCCUGUACUUGGUGUUACUGCGAAGGGGGGACGGAGAAGGCUAUGUUGGCCGGGCGACGGUUGUCCCGGUUUAAGCGUGUAGGCUGGUUUUCCAGGCAAAUCCGGAAAAUCAAGGCUGAGGCGUGAUGACGAGGCACU
rnacentral:rRNA from 1 species